rnacentral:rRNA from 1 species
UACGUAGGGGGCAAGCGUUGUCCGGAAUCAUUGGGCGUAAAGAGCGUGUAGGCGGUUCGAUAAGUCGGUUGUGAAAGUCCAGGGCUCAACCCUGGGAUGCCGACCGAUACUGUCGGACUAGAGUUCGGAAGAGGCGAGUGGAAUUCCCGGUGUAGCGGUGAAAUGCGCAGAUAUCGGGAGGAACACCGGUGGCGAAGGCGGCGACCUGGGUAGAUACUGACGCUGAGGUGCGAAAGCGUGGGGAGCAAACAGG